UAAUGAGAGUUUGAUCCUGGCUCAGGACGAACGCUGGCGGCGUGCCUAAUACAUGCAAGUAGAACGCUGAUGUUUGGUGUUUACACUAGACUGAUGAGUUGCGAACGGGUGAGUAACGCGUAGGUAACCUGCCUCAUAGCGGGGGAUAACUAUUGGAAACGAUAGCUAAUACCGCAUAAGAGUGAUUAACACAUGUUAGUUAUUUAAAAGGAGCAAUUGCUUCACUGUGAGAUGGACCUGCGUUGUAUUAGCUAGUUGGUGAGGUAAAGGCUCACCAAGGCGACGAUACAUAGCCGACCUGAGAGGGUGAUCGGCCACACUGGGACUGAGACACGGCCCAGACUCCUACGGGAGGCAGCAGUAGGGAAUCUUCGGCAAUGGACGGAAGUCUGACCGAGCAACGCCGCGUGAGUGAAGAAGGUUUUCGGAUCGUAAAGCUCUGUUGUUAGAGAAGAACGUUGGUAGGAGUGGAAAAUCUACCAAGUGACGGUAACUAACCAGAAAGGGACGGCUAACUACGUGCCAGCAGCCGCGG
rnacentral:rRNA from 1 species